UGGGGAAUAUUGGACAAUGGGCGCAAGCCUGAUCCAGCGAUGCCGCGUGUGUGAAGAAGGCCUGCGGGUUGUAAAGCACUUUAGUUGGGGAGGAGAAGGUGCGUAUGAAUAGUGCGCGCUGGAGACGUUACCCAAAGAAUAAGCACCGGCAAACUCUGUGCCAGCAGCCGCGGUAAUACGAAGGUCCCAAGCGUUGUUCGGAUUUACUGGGCGUAAAGAGUCUGUAGGCGGUGGGGUAAGUCAGAUGUGAAAUCCCGGGGCUCAACCCCGGAACUGCAUCCGAUACUGCCUUACUUGAGGGUCGGAGGGGAGUCUGGAAUUCUCGGUGUAGCAGUGAAAUGCGUAGAUAUCGAGGGGAACACUAGUGGCGAAGGCGAGACUCUGGACGACAACUGACGCUGAGAGACGAAGGCCAGGGGAGCGAAAAGGAUUAGAUACCCCGGUAGUCCCUGAGCGGGCUGGCAAGGCGCAU
rnacentral:rRNA from 1 species